rnacentral:rRNA from 1 species
AUUGAACGCUGGCGGCAGGCCUAACACAUGCAAGUCGAGCGGAUGAAGGGAGCUUGCUCCUGGAUUCAGCGGCGGACGGGUGAGUAAUGCCUAGGAAUCUGCCUGGUAGUGGGGGAUAACGUCCGGAAACGGGCGCUAAUACCGCAUACGUCCUGAGGGAGAAAGUGGGGGAUCUUCGGACCUCACGCUAUCAGAUGAGCCUAGGUCGGAUUAGCUAGUUGGUGGGGUAAAGGCCUACCAAGGCGACGAUCCGUAACCGGUCUGAGAGGAUGAUCAGUCAAACUGGAACUGAGAAACGGUCCAGACUCCUAAGGGAGGCAGCAGUGGGGAAUAUUGGACAAUGGGCGAAAGCCUGAUCCAGCCAAGCCGCGGGUGUGAAGAAGGUCUUCGGAUUGGAAAGCACUUUAAGUUGGGAGGAAGGGCAGUAAGUUAAUACCUUGCUGUUUUGACGUUACCAACAGAAUAAGCACCGGCUAACUUCGUG